rnacentral:lncRNA from 1 species
UAUGACAAGAGAACGUAACUGUGUUACAAGUAUAUAAAACAAUCUCAAUGAGGAAGAUGGGGAAAAAGAUGGUGACCUAAGUAACUUUGGAAAUGAAUGGAGCCUGUAAGAUCAAUGGCAAAAGAAACCAUGAGCCAAGAACACUGCAUUGCCUGGGCAUGUUUGAAGAGCAAAAAGAAGGACAGUAUUACCAGAGAAUAGUGAUUCAAGAGCCGUAAUGGGAUUCCUGAUAAAACAGAUGUGAGGAAUGCAGGAGAGAUGACAAUCAUGAAU